CACAAGAAUAUCUCCACGAGACUGGCGUUUAUCCUCAAUAAACUUCCUUUUCCUAGUUAGGUACUGACUGCGAUUAGAAACUCGCCAUCCUAAUCCGCCCCAGCCCAUUCACGCUCUCUCAGGCUGCUGCUAUUUCCCGUGCGUUUAUCGGCAAACUCACAAGGUUAUAAAGACCCUGGUCGCAGUAAUGGCCAGUAAUUGGACUAUUCCGCGUCAUUCGUCCCUGUUAGUGAAAGACCUCUUGAAGAGCAAGCAAGUUUUCGUUCAGUUUGAGAGGCGUGAUUGUUCAGCAAAAUGAAGACGUCUGUAUUUACUUUCCCAGCAUUGCUGUUGGUGUUAGCUGUGGUGUUCAGCCAGCCUGCGGAUUCCACUGCUAAGAAGGUUACGAAAUUCACGAGGCUGGUCGAGGACGUCAUGCGGGUGCUGGAUACUCGCAGCUCAGAUUCCGUCGACUCUGUGUCUGUGGACUCGGUUGACUCCGUAUCCGUAGAUUCCGCGUCAUCUAUCAGUGAAGACUCAUCUGGGGACGAUGACUCCAGUGCGGAUGGAGACAGUCGCUAGCAGGCCCACCGUAUCUGAACCCUAAUGUACAACGCUAUACUUCCACCGCAAGGCAACUACCCGACACCGCGAUUUUGUUCACUUCGUAAGCACUGAUCUUUCUUUUUUCUUUUCUCUUCUUUUCUUUUCUUUUCAUAUGUUAUAGUACUAGUUGAGCUUCUCGUUUUGCAGAUUCUCUUCCAUUACGUCAUUGUAUCAGUUAUUCUCUUCCAUUACGUCAUUGUAUCACUUGAUUUACGCUUCCUGCCCUGACAAGCACUGCUCUGCCACUCAACGCAUAAUAUCGUAUAGUAAUGAUUACGUCAUUGGCAAAGCCUCUAUGUACCCCACCUAUGCCUCAUAUCGUACUCUUGCGCGAAUCUUUCCCCGGUUCUGUACUAGCAUCAAUAUUCCACAGCACGUUUUCAGCAGCCCUUGGCGGAUUAUGAUGGAAUAAUUUCUAGCAUAAUCUUCGGAUUUUGUCUAAAAAUGAUGCCCUGGCAUAAAAGAACUUCCGACACCACACGGUCGGCAUAACCCUACUAUCCUGGCUGAAGAUUAAUGCUCCAGGCAUAUUUA